GUCCAAUAGGACUGAAUGUAAUAGCUUAGUACUUCACAUAGCAUCAGAGCAACCGACGUAGGACUGGAGAUACAGAAGUCAUCCAAGAGCCAGACGGCAGCAAGAACAGAACCUGCGCCUCUUGACUAUUGUUCAAGUGAUCUAGUCAUUACGCUGCGCUAGUGCCUGCUCUUCUCUGGUGGAUAACCAUUAGAGGGUACCGGGAAACGAUCUACGGAGACAUGUUUCACGUGACGGUUGAACUUCUUCUACUCAUCAGUUUCGACGUCUUAAGUAGCCCUGCCACCGCUAAAAUCGACCACGACACUGUAGAUGUCGCUUUCGGUCACUGCAAAUACAAGGACGUGUCGAUACCGGACGGCGGGAAACAUCAAAUGGUGACCAGCGAAUGCGCACUCGUGACAUGCAAGGCAAUGGAAGCCAGAGUGGAGAUCCACAGGUGCGACCCGGCGCCAGAAGGGUGCGUCACCUCCAAUGUCGGUCACUAUCCCAACUGCUGCUCUAAGAUGACGUGCACGUAACGGUGUGCACCCAAGCAUCCAUCGACUGUAGAAAGUGUGUAAUAAAGGGAAAAAAAAACUUC